UACGCAGGUGGCAAGCGUUGUCCGGAAUUACUGGGUGUAAAGGGAGCGCAGGCGGGAAGCCAAGUCAGCUGUGAAAACUACGGGCUUAACUUGUAGACUGCAGUUGAAACUGGUUUUCUUGAGUGAAGUAGAGGUUGGCGGAAUUCCGAGUGUAGCGGUGAAAUGCGUAGAUAUUCGGAGGAACACCGGUGGCGAAGGCGGCCAACUGGGCUUUAACUGACGCUGAGGCUCGAAAGUGUGGGGAGCAAACAGG
rnacentral:rRNA from 1 species